rnacentral:rRNA from 1 species
AACGUAGGGUGCAAGCGUUGUCCGGAAUUAUUGGGCGUAAAGAGCUCGUAGGCGGUCUGUCGCGUCUGCUGUGAAAUCCCGAGGCUCAACCUCGGGCCUGCAGUGGGUACGGGCAGACUGGAGUGCGGUAGGGGAGAAUGGAAUUCCUGGUGUAGCGGUGGAAUGCGCAGAUAUCAGGAGGAACACCGAUGGCGAAGGCAGUUCUCUGGGCCGUAACUGACGCUGAGGAGCGAAAGCGUGGGGAGCGAACAGG